rnacentral:rRNA from 1 species
GCGCGAAACCUCUACAAUGCACGAAAGUGUGAUAGGGGGACCCCAAGUGCUCAUGCAAUGCAUGGGCUUUUGCCAAGUGUAAAUAGCUUGGAGAAUAAGUGGUGGGCAAGACUGGUGCCAGCCGCCGCGGUAACACCAGCGCCACAAGUGGGAAUCGCGUAUUUGGCCUAAAGCGUCCGUAGCCUGUUUUGUAAAUUUCCUGUGAAAUCGUUGAGCUCAACUUAACGGCGUGCAGGUAAGACUGCAAAGCUCGGAAUCGGUAGGGGUCGGAAGUAUUUGGUGGGGAGCGGUAAAAUGCGAUAAUCCACUGAAGACUACCUGUGGCAAAGGCGUCCGACCAGAACGAAUUCGACGGUGAGGGACGAAAGCUGGGGGAGCGAUCUGG